GGAAAAUCGGCGCCAAAUCAAAAUUGUUUUGA
rnacentral:scRNA from 1 species